GACGAACGCUGGCGGCGUGCUUAACACAUGCAAGUCGAGCGGUAAGGCCCUUUCGGGGGUACGACGAGCGGCGAACGGGUGAGUAACACGUGGGUGACCUGCCCUCAGCUCUGGGAUAAGCCUGGGAAACCGGGUCUAAUACUGGAUAUGACUCCAUGACGCAUGUUGUGGGGUGAAAGCCUUGUGCGGCUGAGGAUGGGCCCNCGGCCUAUCAGCUUGUUGGUGGGGUGAGGCCUACCAAGGCGACGACGGGUAGCCGGCCUGAGAGGGCGACCGGCCACACUGGGACUGAGACACGGCCCAGACUCCUACGGGAGGCAGCAGUGGGGAAUCUUGCGCAAUGGGCGAAAGCCUGACGCAGCGACGCCGCGUGAGGGAUGACGG
rnacentral:rRNA from 1 species